rnacentral:rRNA from 1 species
AUGGAUCGUGAAAGCCUACUCGAGAUUAUGCGAAGUUAUCUUCAUAGUAGAAGAUAUGUCCUCAUCUUGAAUGGUCUAUGGGAUGCUAGUGUUUGGUUCAAAAUCCGUGACGCGUUUGCUGGUGGAGAUGGUUCCAGUAAGAUAGUGCUUACUUCAAGGAUCCAUGACGUCGCAUCACUAGCAAAAGACAAGUACAUAAUUGAUUCGAGACUAUUAGAAAGCCAACAUUCAUGGGAUUUGUUUUGCAAAGAAGCAUUUUGGAAAAUGGAAGAUAAAAUUCGUCCUCGAGAACUGGAAGCAUCAGGUCAGAAAAUUGUAGAGAGUUGUGACGGCUUGCCAGUAGCUAUUGUGUGCAUAGGACGCCUCUUGUCCUUCAGAAGCCAGGCUUGUUAUGAAUGGGAGAAAGUGCAGAAAGAUAUUGAGUUGCAGCUAACGAGCAAUUCAAUCCUUGACAUGAACCUCAUUUUGAAUGUUAGCUUGGAGGAUCUGUCACACAAUUUAAAGAACUGUUUCCUGUUCUGUAGUUUGUCCUAG